UUGGCGCAGUUCGUCGAUACCCUGGUUCGUCGCAUCGCUUUGGCUUGUUUACUGAAGGAAAUAAAAAAAAAACUCAAUUCGGUCAAUUGAGAAAAAGGAGGGGCCGUCAAAGAUGUCGAACGUACAGCAGCAGCGUAUCCUGGUGGACCAGCUACGCCGCGAGGCCAACAUUCGGCGCAUCAACGUCUCCAUCGCCGUGGAGGACAUCAAGAAAUACAUCACCGACCACGAGCAGGAUGACUACCUACUGGUGGGCUUCUCGUCUCAGAAGGCCAACCCCUUCCGCGAAAAGUCGUCAUGCAGUGUGCUUUAACAAAGGUAUUACUUUCUACUGAUUUUCGCGCCUAUUGGCGCUUUCAUUGUGGCACAGCCGACUGCCGCGCGCUAUGCUUCGCUUCUCCAGGAGCCGGGCCGGCGGGGGAGGCCGACUGGCCGGCCACCCACUGCUGGCCGUCCCGCCGCGCGCCCGUGUCUCCUCUCUGUACGUGUUGGUGUCCGCCGGACGUCGGAGCGCCCCGCACGCUUUUGUCGUGUCAACGCCGGCGCUGAACUGUUUUAGGACGUGAUUGACUCUGCCCACCGGCACAAAAACGAUCGUUGACGAAUAAACCGAAAACUGUAGACGUGUAACGAUGAUGAUGGUGUUAUUGGUCAACACGAAUUACAAACCA